rnacentral:rRNA from 1 species
CAGCCGCCGCGGUAAUACCGGCGGCCCGAGUGGCGGUCACGAUUAUUGGGCUUAAAGCGUCCGUAGCCGGGUUGGGAAGUCCUCCGGGAAAUCUGGCCGCUUAACGGUCAGAAUGCCGGAGGAUACUCCCAGCCUAGGGACCGGGGGAGGCCGAGGGGAUUCCCGGGGUAGGGGGGAAAUCCUAUAAUCCCGGGAGGACCACCUGGGGCGAAGGCGCUCGGCUGGAACGCGUCCGACGGUGAGGGACGAAGGCCAGGGGAGCAAACCGGAUUAGAUACCCGGGUAGUCCUGGCGGUAAACGAUGCGGACUUUGUGUCGGACAAGCUAUGAGCUUGUCCGGUGCCGGAGGGAAACCGUUAAGUCCGCCGCCUGGGGAGUACGGCCGCAAGGCUGAAACUUAAAGGAAUUGGCGGG